rnacentral:rRNA from 1 species
GAUGAACGCUGGCGGCGUGCCUAAUACAUGCAAGUCGAGCGAACAGACGAGGAGCUUGCUCCUCUGACGUUAGCGGCGGACGGGUGAGUAACACGUGGAUAACCUACCUCUAAGACUGGGAUAACUUCGGGAAACCGGAGCUAAUACCGGAUAAUAUAUUGAACCGCAUGGUUCAAUAGUGAAAGACGGUUUUGCUGUCACUUAUAGAUGGAUCCGCGCCGCAUUAGCUAGUUGGUAAGGUAACGGCUUACCAAGGCAACGAUGCGUAGCCGACCUGAGAGGGUGAUCGGCCACACUGGAACUGAGACACGGUCCAGACUCCUACGGGAGGCAGCAGUAGGGAAUCUUACGCAAUGGGCGAAAGCCUGACGGAGCAACGCCGCGUGAGUGAUGAAGGUCUUCGGAUCGUAAAACUCUGUUAUUGGGGAAGAACAAAUGUGUAAGUAACUAUGCACGUCUUGACGGUACCUAAUCAGAAAGCCACGGCUAACUACGUG